GGUGGUUAGGGGGUUAGUGGUUAGCAAAUAAGAUGGGGGGAGGAUUCUUCACCAGCACCAGUUUAUAAACUCAGUUAGAAUAGUUGUCUGUCGUGCAUAAUGAUGUUUUCUAUGUUACAGAUAUUAUAACUGCUGUCGCGAAAUACGAAUGUUCGAAUAUUAGAAUAAUGCAACACGAAGCUCUGUUACGUCACAAUCCAAUUCACGCAUGGAGCGAUGUGACGUCAAGCUCUUCUGAGGGAGAUUCCCCGAAGCAACAACCGGUGAACUUCAAUAAACGGUAUUUAAAAACUAUGACGUCAUCAUCAUCGUUGAUAUCACGUGACGCUUGCCUCUCAUCGUAUUACGUCACAUACGACCGUCGAUUGCUGAGCAGAGGUGCUGUUGAAUUGGCGAUCACAGCAGAAGAAGGAACAAUCUCAGUUUCCAUUCUUCAAGUCAAAGAUAUCCCGAUAGAUUUCAUUCAACGAGCAUCACUAUUGUUGAAGCUUUCGCUAAAUACUGACAAAAGAAAAAAACUUCAAUUCCGAACUCGAUCUGUCCCAGUGACGUCAUCGAAGAUUUCUUUUAACGAAACCCUGGCUUUUUCCAUAAACGGUGGUACAAGGAACAGGUUGGUCAUCGGCGCUUGUUUGAAACAUGAUCGUCCUCUCUUUCCUGAACACCUCGGUUGGAUGAGUUUUGGUCUCAACAACUUCCUACAACGUGGAAAGGAGAUACGGGGUUGGUACAAUUUACUGGAUCGCAACUCGGGUCGUAGGAAACAUAUGCAAGCAAAGGAGGUUCCUUAUAUCGGAAGUUUUAUCCGGAGUUCAAGAAGUCGCUCUUCAAUGAAAAUACAAAGGUCGCGUUCAUAUCUUCCACCUCUUGAAAUUGAUGCUAGCGGCAAGAGAGCCAGGGAGUCGGUAAACUUGGACGAUUCGGCUCAAGCAGAUAUUUUGUGGCGAAACGACCAGGAAAGUUACGUUUAUGCGGUCGAAUCAAGGAACCGAUGCAAGAAAGCAAAGAGAGCGAAACUUGUUGGGGAAAUUAAUAUUCAUCCGCGAGAUGAGUUGCAUCCAAUCGACUUUGAUUCGAAACAAACAUCAAGAUACGGAGAACAAACCAAGAUCAAUGGCGAUUAUCACGAACCAGUAGAUACUUCUCAAAUUUCUGAACGAAACAGAAGCUCAAACUUUACCCGCGCUACAACUGGAUCUUUUCGUUACUUACAAAAACGAGCCAGAAGAUUAUCCAGACGACGAUCUGUCCUUGUGGAAAAACAACCGAGCAAACCGAGUCUACCUCAGCAUUUCAGCGACACCGAUCUUCGGCGUGAAAAUAUGUUAAGUUUAUCCACGCCUCCAGCUUGUGUGCUUCAUGCUGCGGGUGGUAUCAACGAUACUUCGGAUUCAUGGAUUGUUUUAUCCCCGCGAUGCGAGCCGAGCAACCAACGUUCGUUUUCCCAUCAAAACUUGGGAGAUACCUGCCACAGUUUGCCGGCGCAAGGGAAAAAGCAAAAUUCAUUCUUGGGUCUCAUUUUGGAACCCCUUAAAGGAGCAAAGAGAAACGACGCUAAGAAUGCAUACGAAGAACCGAAAGCCACGAAACCAAAGCUUGAAAACUUCGAACCGAGUCCCUUUGUCCGAAAAACCAAGAACUCCCGCAAAGCUAUUAAACAGCUUGGAGAAAUCUUUCAUUCCCGUGAAGGACACGGCUCUACUCGCAGUCUAUACACCGGCCCGGUUGAUGUCAAAUCAAGCAACUCGUUUUUCCGAAACGGGUUCCGACUUUCGAAGCGUAAGAAAACCGACAGCCUUGGUAUAGCGACACCUAUGGUCAGCAGACGACGAAAAGGAAGAUUUUCAAUCGGUGACCCGACCACUCCAACCAAAGGGAAAGGAAAUCUUUCAAUCUUCAGACCUACCCAAUCAGAAAUCGAUGACGUUAAUGUUUUUAUCGAUGGCCCUGAGUUCUUUAAAGCCGAAGAUGACAUGAAGUCGAAAUCAAAAUCAAGACGAUCUCUGAAGACUUGGCUCUCAAAGAAAUCCGACUUAUCGUUGAAGACAUUGGCAGAAACCAAAGAUGUUCCGUAAGUUCCACAAUAAUUGCAAAGCAACAUUCACUUUGGUUCAAGUCUUGCACUGCAAAGAAGCCGUUUCGAAGUUUAUGAAAUUCUUGAAAGCGGAAUUCAGCGACGAAAAUCUUGAGUUUCUUCUUGAAGUUGAAGUUUAUAAACAACACCGGAAACACGAGAAGCUCUGCGUCAAAAUCUGCGACAAAUAUAUUGUUAUCGGGGCCCCGAGAGAGGUGAAUAUUACUAGCUGUAUCCGGGACCGAAUUAUCAGGCAGUUGCCCUGCCCUGUCAAGUCAACGUUCAAUGAAGCCGAGAAUCAUAUAUUUAACUUGUUAGAAAGAGAUUCUUUCAAAAGAUUCUUGCGAUCUCCGACCGGCCAAUCUUUGCUCAAUGUCUUGAACAAAUGAUCAUCAUAUUGUGUAUUUUUGUUGCUGUAGUUGUAUUUCAUAUUUAUUUGUUCCAUUUCAUUUGAUGUCUUUAUAAACCUUAUAAAAGAAAUUGUUGUCUAUUAUAA